CCACAAUUACUGCUGCUCCAACCACAACAACAAAUUCUCCAACCACAACCACUGCACCUCCAGCAUUAAUAAGGCUGCUGAUUUUUAAAUCUGUUGAUGUAUUCACCACAGAUUUGGCAGACCCAUCAACAUCAGCAUUCCAAACACGUUCUGGACACAUACGGAAUAGUCUUGACCCACUUUUCAGAAAUGUGUUCCCUUCAUUCCAAAAGACUGGAGCUAUGGCAUUCAGAGCGGGCUCAAUCAUCAACUCUGUGGACCUUGAAUUUGAGUCAUCUUCUACUCCUAAUGAUACACUUGUCUCAGAGACGUUGGUUAACCAGCCUUCAAUAAUGGCAGAAUUUCACAUAGAUCCUGCGACCGUUUCUGUCAGCAACACAGUAACUGACACCACGACAACAGCUGCUCCAACAACAACCACAGCUGCUCCAACUACAACAAUGGCUGCUCCAACUACAA